AAUGGAACACUCCCUCCUCCCUAGGGCA
rnacentral:tRNA from 1 species